UACGUAGGUGGCAAGCGUUGUCCGGAUUUAUUGGGCUUAAAGGGUGCGUAGGCGGCCCUGUAAGUCAGUGCUGAAAUAUCCCAGCUUAACUGGGAGGGUGGCAUUGAUACUGCGGGGCUAGAGUACAGAUGAGGUAGGCGGAAUUGACGGUGUAGCGGUGAAAUGCUUAGAUAUCGUCAAGAACACCUAUAGCGAAGGCAGCUUACUAGGCUGUAACUGACGCUGAGGCACGAAAGUGUGGGGAUCAAGCAGG
rnacentral:rRNA from 1 species